rnacentral:rRNA from 1 species
GUCGAACGCUGUAGCAAUACAGAGUGGCGCACGGGUGAGUAAUACAUGGGAAUAUGCCUUUUAGUACGGAACAACGUUUGGAAACGAACGCUAAUACCGUAUGGUCCCUUCGGGGUAAAGAUUUAUCGCUAAAAGAGUAGCCCUUGUUGGAUUAGCUAGUUGGUGAGGUAAUGGCUCACCAAGGCGACGAUCCAUAGCUGGUCUGAGAGGACGAUCAGCCACACUGGGACUGAGACACGGCCCAGACUCCUACGGGAGGCAGCAGUUAGGAAUAUUGGACAAUGGACGCAAGUCUGAUCCAGCCAUGCCGCGUGAGUGAUGAAGGCCUUCGGGUUGUAAAGCUCUUUAGUCCACGAAUAUAAUGACUGUAGUGGAAGAAUAAGCCCCGGCUAACUUCGUGCCAGCAGCCGCGGUAAUACGAAGGGGGCGAGCGUUAUUCGGAAUCACUGGGCGUAAAGCGUGCGUAGGCUGUCCUAAAAGUUAGGAGUGAAAGCCCCAGGCUCAACUUGGGAAUUGCUCUUAAUACUGUAGGACUCGAAUUUGGGAGAGGAUAGCGGAAUUGUCAGUGUAGCAGUGAAAUGCGUAGAUAUUGACAGGAACACCGGUGGCGUAAGCGGCUAUCUGGACCAACAUUGACGCUGAGGCACGAAAGCGUGGGGAUCAAACAGGAUUAGAUACCCUGGUAGUCCACGCUGUAAAC